GGGCGAAUGGUCUAGGGGUAUGAUAUUCGCUUUGCAUCUACAAAAAAAGUCCUGAGGAAUUUCUUUCGGUUUGAGGCCGUCGUUUGUUCCGUGUAAUAUGUGCUUGCGAAGGGUCCGGGGUUCAAAUCCCCGUUCGUCCA